AGGCAUAUUUUGGUGGCGAAGCUCGUUGUGAUGCUGAGGCUGGGCAAGGAGAUGACUAUGAUCCAAGAGAGCUUAUUUGUGGUGCAUGCUCUGAUGUUUCAAGGGCUCAGAUGUGUCCCAAACAUGGUACAGAUUUCUUAGAGUACAAAUGCCGCUACUGCUGUUCAGUUGCUGUUUUUUUCUGUUUUGGAACAACGCAUUUUUGUAAUGCUUGCCAUGAUGAUUUCCAAAGAAUGACAAGCAUCCCUAAAGAAGAGCUCCCACACUGUCCUGCAGGUCCCAAAGGUAAACAACUUGAAGGAACAGAAUGUCCACUUCAUGUUGUCCAUCCACCCACUGGUGAAGAAUUUGCUCUGGGUUGUGGCGUUUGCAGAAAUGCUCACACUUUUUAGACUAGAUUUUUUUUUUAACCAGAGCAAAACAGGUGCCCUCAUCCCUUAAGUGUCCUGAAAAUAAAGUCCAGCUGGGAUGAGGACGGGACCAUUUCAUAACCCAGGUAAAAGGAACAAUUUACAGUGCAAGAAGGAUGCCAAAUACCAUGUACAUAAUUCUUGCUGUGAGAUAUUGACAUUUUUUGAACUGAGACAUCAAAACUUGUGAGGUGUUUGCAUGUGGCCAUUACCGUCAUCGGCUAGGAAACAUUGGACAUUUACAAAUAAAUAAUUGCUAUUAAAGGAUCUGUGUGUCUGUGGACUAUGAAUGAUGCUGGCUUUCAGGAGAAAGAAAAAAGAAUAUUGAUUAUUGUAUACUGACUUUUUGUAAUCUUGUACAAUUGUAACGCAUCACAAGUGGGGAUGGGAAAGAGGAAUAUUCUGGUUUAUUUCCUAGACUGUUAUAAAAAAAAAAAAAUUGUGUUAGGAAGGCAUAAAUGUAACAAGUAUCACACUGUAUAUAAAGGUAUCAAUGUUUGUCCUGUAUAAGAAUUAUUAAAUUACAACAGCAGUUUCAUUUAAACUUCUGGGUUAUGUUUGAGCCUGAAAUUUUAAUGAAGUGCAAUACUGAGUGUGCCUCAUAUCUUGCAGCUGUAAACAUAAUGGAAUGUACAUGUCAAUAAAGCCACUGUACAUUUUUAUACAGUGAAA